AUUAAAAUACCAGUUCCCAUAUGAUCACUAAAGUUAAGCAACAUUGAGCCUGUCCAGUACCUAGAUGGGCGACCACUUGGGAAUACUA